rnacentral:antisense_RNA from 1 species
GAAAGAAUCAAAGCCUCAAGCGUCACGUCUAGGAAUAGCGCUGGAGUCGGGCCAAGUCAUUAGAGACGAUGAGUAAUCCGGCUCUUCCAGAUCUUCCUGAGUGGUAGUGGCCACGGCUGAAGGCAGAGGGCUAUGUGGAGGCUGAAGGCAGAGGGCUGGGCCUUGGGCCUGGGUAAAGACAACUCUGGACAUGGAGUGGCAGGAGCGAUAAGCAGAACUACUGGUGACACUGUGGGAGAGAAAUUCUGCAAAAUAACAGCUGGGCAGCCCGGGACCCCAGGGAGUUGAAAUGGGACCUCGGAGACAUCAGGAUGUCCUGGAGAGGCACCAAGGCCCGAGGUCCCCCAGGGACCGUGGAGGGGGCAUUAAGCCCUGAAAACAGAUCAUGAUGCCCAUCCCCCCAGCAUAAUUAGAAAUAAAAACAACCGGGACAGUUAAA